rnacentral:rRNA from 1 species
AUGAUGGCGGGGCGGGUCUUGGUUGCCAUUGCGGUUCUUGCGGCGGCGGCGGCGCUGUUUGUUGCGGCGGAGGCCCAGCAGGCGCCGGCGCAGCAGGGCCACCAGACAGAGAGGAUCUCAGGGAGUGCUGGUGAUGUGCUGGACGAUGACCCUGUUGGGAGGCUCAAGGUGUUUAUCUAUGAUCUCCCUGGAAAAUACAACAAGAAGCUGCUGAAGAAAGACCCUCGGUGCCUGAACCACAUGUUCGCCGCGGAGAUCUUCAUGCACCGGUUCCUGCUGUCGAGCGCGUCUCCACGCAUGAUGCGGAGCGCGAUUGAGCUGAUCGCGACGAAAUGGCCUUACUGGAAUAGAUCAGAGGGGGCAGAUCAUUUCUUUGUCACACCACAUGACUUUGGCGCUUGCUUCCAUUAUCAGGAAGAGAAAGCAAUUGGACGAGGAAUCCUUCCCUUGCUUCAGCGUGCUACACUGGUUCAGACCUUUGGACAAAAGAACCAUGUCUGCUUGAAGGAAGGCUCCAUCACAAUUCCGCCAUUUGCGCCUCCGCAGAAAAUGCAAAAUCACCUUAUUCCCGGAGAGACCCCUCGAUCCAUCUUCGUAUACUUCCGUGGUCUGUUCUACGACACCGGCAAUGAUCCCGAGGGUGGAUACUACGCAAGAGGUGCUCGUGCAUCUGUCUGGGAGAACUUCAAGAACAACCCGCUGUUCGACAUCUCAACCGAUCACCCACCGACGUACUACGAAGAUAUGCAGAGGUCUGUGUUCUGCCUAUGCCCAUUGGGCUGGGCUCCAUGGAGCCCCAGGCUGGUGGAAGCCGUGGUUUUCGGCUGCAUCCCGGUGAUCAUCGCAGACGACAUCGUCCUCCCCUUCGCGGACGCCAUCCCAUGGGAGGAGAUCGGCGUGUUUGUUCCCGAGGAGGACGUCCCAAGGCUGGACAGCAUCCUGACAUCCAUUCCGACAGAGGACAUACUGAGGAAGCAAAGGCUUCUCGCAAACCCUUCGAUGAAGCAGGCCAUGCUGUUCCCCCAGCCAGCUCAAGCAGGAGAUGCAUUCCAUCAGAUACUGAACGGGCUCGCUCGCAAGCUUCCGCAUGGCGAAGAUGUCUUCUUGAAGCCCGGCCAGGUCCGCCUGAACUGGACCGCUGGCCCGGUGGGUGACCUGAAGCCGUGGUAG